GGGUAGUUUGACUGGGGCGGUCUCCUCCUAAAGAGUAACGGAGGAGCACGAAGGUUGGCUAAUCCUGGUCGGACAUCAGGAGGUUAGUGCAAUGGCAUAAGCCAGCUUGACUGCGAGCGUGACGGCGCGAGCAGGUGCGAAAGCAGGUCAUAGUGAUCCGGUGGUUCUGAAUGGAAGGGCCAUCGCUCAACGGAUAAAAGGUACUCCGGGGAUAACAGGCUGAUACCGCCCAAGAGUUCAUAUCGACGGCGGUGUUUGGCACCUCGAUGUCGGCUCAUCACAUCCUGGGGCUGAAGUAGGUCCCAAGGGUAUGGCUGUUCGCCAUUUAAAGUGGUACGCGAGCUGGGUUUAGAACGUCGUGAGACAGUUCGGUCCCUAUCUGCCGUGGGCGCUGGAGAAUUGAGGGGGGCUGCUCCUAGUACGAGAGGACCGGAGUGGACGCAUCACUGGUGUUCGGGUUGUCAUGCCAAUGGCAUUGCCCGGUAGCUACAUGCGGAAGAGAUAAGUGCUGAAAGCAUCUAAGCACGAAACUUGCCCCGA
rnacentral:rRNA from 1 species